rnacentral:rRNA from 1 species
GUAGGUGGCAAGCGUUGUCCGGAAUUAUUGGGCGUAAAGCGCGCGCAGGCGGUUCUUUAAGUCUGAUGUGAAAGCCCACGGCUCAACCGUGGAGGGUCAUUGGAAACUGGAGAACUUGAGUACAGAAGAGGAAAGCGGAAUUCCACGUGUAGCGGUGAAAUGCGUAGAGAUGUGGAGGAACACCAGUGGCGAAGGCGGCUUUCUGGUCUGUAACUGACGCUGAGGCGCGAAAGCGUGGGGGAGCAAACAGGAUUAGAUACCCUGGUAGUCCACGCCGUAAACGAUGAGUGCUAAGUGUUAGGGGGUUUUCCGCCCCUUAGUGCUGCAGCUAACGCAUUAAGCACUCCGCCUGGGAGUACGACCGCAAGGUUG